rnacentral:misc_RNA from 1 species
GUGAAUCAUCAAAUUUUUGAACGCAAAUUGCACUCUCUUCGGGGAGUAUGCCUGUUUGAGGGUCAGCCUAAAAAAAAUCGACAUAGUUGCUGUUACGCGGUAACAUUCGUCGGAAAUUGGGUCAUCUUAAACCUUUGGGUUUAAACGGCUCAAAAAUUUCUCUAUGAUUCCAAGGGAACUUCUAAG